GACGAACGCUGGCGGCGUGCUUAACACAUGCAAGUCGUACGGUAAGGCCCUUUCGGGGGUACACGAGUGGCGAACGGGUGAGUAACACGUGAGUAACCUGCCCACAACUUUGGGAUAACGCUAGGAAACUGGUGCUAAUACUGGAUAUGUGCUCCUGCUGCAUGGUGGGGGUUGGAAAGCUCCGGCGGUUGUGGAUGGACUCGCGGCCUAUCAGCUUGUUGGUGGGGUAGUGGCCUACCAAGGCGGCGACGGGUAGCCGGCCUGAGAGGGUGACCGGCCACAUUGGGACUGAGAUACGGCCCAGACUCCUACGGGAGGCAGUAGUGGGGAAUAUUGCACAAUGGGCGCAAGCCUGAUGCAGCAACGCCGCGUGCGGGAUGACGGCCUUCGGGUUGUAAACCGCGUUCAGCAGGGACGAAGCUUUUUGUGACGGUACCUGCAGAAGAAGCACCGGCUAACUACGUG
rnacentral:rRNA from 1 species